GACGUCAGUUUUGCACUCUUCAAUAGAUUUAAUUAAAGGAACACCACAAUCUCAUCUCCCAUGAAUUAACAGAGGAAUUAUGACCUGAAAGCAUCAGCUCAUUAGCUCUGGGAAGUACAGAAUAAUCAGAGCACAGCAGGCACCAGUGAUGAAUCCUACCUCUUUCACAGCCAGCCUCUGACACGCUCUGAUGGCCAGUGAGAGGACACUGAGCAGCAAUGGUACAUCAGCAAGUCAUCCUUCUCUGAAAGGGGACAUGCUUUUAGGUAAUUCUUUCUCCUUUAUGCCCUUAGAAUAGAAUAAACGAGCAAAGCAGCAAUAGGUGCAGCAAUAGGUGCAGUGAGAUGGUGGAAGGUUAGAAGAAGUCCAGAGGCUGAAAUCAUACAACAGAACUAGGAAUGGGAGAUGCAGCUGGAAAUGCUGGCUGUGCACUGUGGUAAACAAAGAGAAUGAAACUGAGACAAGUUAUGUAGCGGUCUUAGGAAAUAAGUCAGUAAGGGUAUAAAAAGCAGGAGCAGAGCCAGAAUGCAGAGGAAGGGGGUCAGUAAAACAGAAUGCAUGUGGCAAAGAAAUAGAAAGAAUUAGAUCAGAAGGAACGACACACACAUCAUAGGGAGUGAAGUAAGGGAAAUGAGAAACUAUCUCUGGGGUAGAGGAAAGGAGACAUAUUAUGGUCAAGAGACAACAAAGAAAA